ensembl:lncRNA HULC hepatocellular carcinoma up-regulated long non-coding RNA
AGACGCUAGGCCGGCACUGCCUAGGUGGGCCGGGCGGUGCGAGGGUCGCCUUUCAGCCUUUACCUCUACCCACUGAAAUGGAGUAGGUCGGUGAGCGCCGAUCUGCUGGAGAAUCUCAUUAUCCCAUCGGCGCUCUGCCUGCUCCUGGCCUCCAAGCCUCUGAAGCCCCUCGGGUUUCAGCUGCCGGCUACCCUCGAGCCCGUGGUGCCCACGAGAGAGGCGACUUUACGUCAGCGGCCCUGGGCUGAGAUUUGAGAACGCGACCAAGUGGAGAAUGUUGGAGCCAGAUUUUAAAAUCCUUGUCUUCCUUCUGCGUGCUACUUGAUCUAAAUGAGAUACGGCAAAGUCACAGAACCUGUUUUUAUGUUUUUGCCUGAUUCAUACGGGCUUCUCCGGUGAAGAUGGGCCUGAAGUAACGCUUGGGUUGCUUCUGACGUUAUAACUCAUCCUGUAGCUGCAGCAACCGUGGUCCUUGCAACCUCAUAAAAAUGUUGCCAGCAUUGUUUCGAUAGUGCUGCUUAAUUCUUGGAAGGCCUCUUUGCUUUCUUCCCUGAGGUUCUUCGGACUUCACACAUUCCAGCAGUAGCUCUCUCAGCUCCUGUCCUGCACAGCUUUGAAGUGCUGGUGAUGUCAUUGAACUCUUAAGUGCAAGAUGAAACAAGUCUUUCUGGGGUUCUAAGUAGGACACAGCCCUGGUGAUGGCUUUCUGAGGAUGACACGAUGGAGGCUUCUCCAAUAGCUCUAAAACUGCGGUGUGGAAAACAUUCGGCAGCCUCAAAGAGCGGUCUUGUUGACCCCAACUAUAUCAUUUUUCAUCAAAAUCAUUCUUGUAAAGAAUGACCAGGCAACACUCUUUGAAAAUUGGAGGCCAUUUGCAGCUGCUCUCUGUUGAGGAAAGUGAAUAAUAGGGUGCCCUCAAGGAAUUGCAAAGUCCUAAGUUAGUGGCAUGAAAGCACUGCCCUGGAAGCGAUGGAGCAGCAAGUGCUCUACCCACAUGGAAGUCUUUGGGACCUGCACUUCAAUGAGCGCAGAGAGGAAAAGGAGAGAAGAACCAACACAACUGAAGCACCUACGAGCGUCAGGCACUGGCCCAGCUGCCAUGGACCCCCGAGUUGAAGGUCGUAUAACCUCAGCCUGCCCAAAUGAACCAAGCACACAACCACAGGGGGAACCCAAGAGUUCCAGUGGGAGAGCUGGAAGAGGAGGGACCAAUGUGAGAAGUGGACACCAUAUGGCAGGAUCCAGGAUCCAAUCAGACUGAGCCCUGGGGUCACCCCAUGGAAGGAUCCAGUUGGAUCAUGCCUCCUGGCAUCACCUACUGCAAGAUCCAAUCAGAUCACACCUCCUUACCCUAUGCUUAUAAAACCCCACCCAGCCCCCAGCCCGAAGAUACAGAUUUGAGUAUUUCCUCCUGUUUCCUUACCAGUCGAUUUGCAAUAAAGCUUUUUUUUUUUUCC